rnacentral:rRNA from 1 species
ANUGGGGAAUAACUGUUGGAAACGACAGCUAAUACCGCAUAAUAUUGCUGGAUAAUUUCCAGUAAUGAAAGGAGCUUUCAAGCUCCGCUGAUUGAUGAGGAUGCGGCGCAUUAGCUAGUUGGUAGGGUAAUGGCCUACCAAGGCAAUGAUGCGUAGCCGAUCUGAGAGGAUGAACGGCCACAUUGGGACUGAGACACGGCCCAAACUUCUACGGAAGGCAGCAGUAGGGAAUUUUUCACAAUGGGCGAAAGCCUGAUGGAGCAAUGCCGCGUGACUGAUGAAGGUCUUCGGAUUGUAAAGGUCUGUUGUAAGGGAAGAAAUGGUAAAACAGGAAAUGGUUUUAUCUAUGACGGUACCUUACCAGAAAGCCACGGCUAACUAUGUGCCAGCAGCCGCGGUAAUACAUAGGUGGCAAGCGUUAUCCGGAUUUAUUGGGCGUAAAGGGUGCGUANACGGUUUUGCAAGUCUGA